rnacentral:rRNA from 1 species
GAUGAACGCUAGCUACAGGCUUAACACAUGCAAGUCGCGGGGCAGCAUUUCUUUAGCUUGCUAAGGAAGAUGGCGACCGGCGCACGGGUGAGUAACGCGUAUCCAACCUUCCCAUGUCCACGGGAUAGCCCGUCGAAAGGCGGAUUAAUACCGUAUGAGGUCACAUGCGGGCAUCUAAGUGUGACGAAAAGGUUUAGCGGACAUGGAUGGGGAUGCGUCCGAUUAGCUUGUUGGCGGGGUAACGGCCCACCAAAGGCGACGAUCAGUAGGGGUUCUGAGAGGAAGGUCCCCCACAUUGGAAACUGAGACACGGGUCCAAAACUCCUACGGGAGGCAGCAGUGAGGAAUAUUGGUCAAUGGACGGGAGUCUGAACCAGCCAGGUAGC